AUUGAAUUAAUAUCAUCUUUGAGACAGUCCAGAAUUGAAAUAAUAUUAUCUUUGAGACAGUCCAGAAGUUUGUUUUUUUAUGAACAGAUUGUAAAUAUGUUUAUUUUGGUUGCCAUUUGUUAUAUUGUAUAGAUAUUGUGAUAUUAAAUUCAGGGUUUUGUUGAUGAAGAGAUUCCUAAGUGAUCACAGCACAUUCCUACAUCAGUUAUAUUUUAAACCAGGAACCAGUUUAUAUUUUCUCUACCAAUCGAAUUGUGGAUUUUUAAAAUAUAUCUAAAAAUGACAACCACAGUCUAACCAUACUUGCUAUUUAAUUUUAUUGGGCAUGGGUUUCAUGGGUAAUAAUUUAUAUUCUGAAAAUAAAAAAAAUAAAUAGGAAUAACUCUCACUUGUGAGAAUAAUUCCUUGAUUUUAACUUUGUGACUGGCUGAUUCAGAAUUUUUAUCAAAGGGGACCAAAAAAAGGAAAAAAAUCUGACAAAUUUACUAAAAAAAUAUAUUUAUUUUGCGAUAAAAAAGGGUGGGACUGUGGGACCCUCUGCAACAGGUAUGUUUUAAGUUUAUUGUAUAAUUUGCCAUUUAGAAAAGUAUGCCCCCCCUUUUUCUUCCAUUGUCAGAAUGAUGCUGUGUGAAUCCUUCAUCCUUCCAUUGUAAUAUGUCACUUGUUAUUAUAUGGCAUUAUGUGAUAUGUGAAUGCCACAAUUAUAUAUAAAAAAACGUCUUUUUACUUUUGUCUUUUUUUG
rnacentral:lncRNA from 1 species